rnacentral:lncRNA from 1 species
GACAUUAACGAACAAAUCAGCCACAGCAAUGAGGCGCAAGAUCCAGCAGCGCAGACAACACUACUAGUCAGUGCCUACAUCGCAUACACGUCACAGACUGUCAGCGCAUUACAUGACUAGACAAUUUAAGCAUUCGACACUAGUAAUAACACCAGCAAAGGUAGCAGCAACACAUAGUGCGGCAGUAGAGAAACUUAUGAUCCACAAAACAAACCCUACUCAUAUGUCCUUACAAC